GUAAUUUGACCGUGCGAAGGUAGCAUAAUCAUUAGCCACUUAAUUAGUGGAUGGAAUGAAGGGCUGGAUGAGGGGUAAGCUGUCUUUUUACUAUAAUUUAAACUUUACUUUUAAGUGAAAAGGCUUUAAUAGUAUAAAGUGAAGAUAAGACCCUAUAAAACUUUAUAAGAUUUUUACUAUAUUUGUUAUAUUUUGGAAAAAGCAAUAUAAUUAAACGUUAUUUUGUUGGGGCGACAGGAAUAAAAUUAAAUAUCUGUUCUUUUAACGUGUUAGUAAUUACUAAUUCAUGAUCCUUUAAUAGAGAUUAAAAGAUUAAGUUACUUUAGGGAUAACAGCGUGAUUUUCUUUGAGAGUUCCUAUCGACAAGAGUAGUUGCGACCUCGAUGUUGAAUUAAAAUUAUUCUGACAAGUGCAGUAGCUUGUCUAGUAAGUCUGUUCGACUUUUAAUAUUUUACAUGAC
rnacentral:rRNA from 1 species